CCGAAAACUGCCCAGAAAAAUCUCCGAUUCAGCUCAGAUUUUUGCCCCUCUGCCACGAAAUUCCCCCCCAUAAAUACCCAUGUAUCCCCUUUGUUUUUCCCCUCCGAAAACCUAAUUUGGUCGCCAGGCUGCCGGAUUUUGAGCUCGCCGCCGCCGCCAUCUUGAAGUUUGAAGAUCACCGGUAGGCUCGUGAAUUCGCAUCGGAGCUUCGCCGGAGUUUGCGACCUCCAUCCGCCUGCCACGGUUGUUCAGAUUGUCCGGAGUGCAACGAGUGCGACUGCGGUGAUUGUCUGAACAACAACGAAGG